rnacentral:rRNA from 1 species
UACAGAGGGGGCAAGCGUUAUUCGGAAUUAUUGGGCGUAAAGGGCGCGUAGGCGGCUGCGCAAGUCCGGGGUGAAAGCCCCCAGCUCAACUGGGGAAGUGCCUUGGAAACUGUGCAGCUCGAGCGAGGUAGGGGUCGUGGGAACUUCCGGUGGAGCGGUGAAAUGCGUUGAUAUCGGAAGGAACGCCGGUGGCGAAAGCGCACGACUGGACCUCUUCUGACGCUGAGGCGCGAAAGCCAGGGGAGCAAACGGG